rnacentral:rRNA from 1 species
UACAGAGGUCUCAAGCGUUGUUCGGAUUCAUUGGGCGUAAAGGGUGCGUAGGCGGCGCGGUAAGUCGGGGUGUGAAAUUUCGAGGCUUAACUUCGAAACUGCAUUCGAUACUGCCUUGCUUGAGGACUGGAGAGGAGACUGGAAUUCACGGUGUAGCAGUGAAAUGCGUAGAGAUCGGGAGGAACAUCCGUGGCGAAGGCGACUACCUGGACCAGCACUGACACUGAGGCGCGACAGCGUGGGGAGCAAACAGGG